rnacentral:rRNA from 1 species
CCUACGGGUGACAGCAGUAGGGAAUUUUCGGCAAUGGGGGGAACCCUGACCGAGCAACGCCGCGUGAACGAAGAAGUUCUUCGUAAUGUAAAGUUCUUUUAACAGGGAAGAAAGAGAAAUUUGAAGGUACCUAACGAAUAAGCGCCGGCUAACUACGUGCCAGCAGCAGCGGUAAUAAGUAGGGAGCGAGCGUUAUCCGGAAUUAGUGGGCGUAAAGGGUGCGUAGUUGGCAUAGUAAGUAUUUUGUAAAAAUGCUGGGCUCAACCCAGUAGGGCAAAAGAUACUGCAAAGCUAGAGUAUGACAGAGGCAAGUGGAACUACAUGUGUAGCGGUAAAAUGCGUAGAUAUAUGGAAGAACACCAGUGGCGAAGGCGGCUUGCUGGGUCGAUACUGACAUUGAGGCACGAAAGCGUGGGGAGCAAACAGGAUUAGAUACCCUGGUAGUC